CAAAAGUGAUGAACAUUAAAAAAAUAAAUCUUUUUUUUUUUAAUAAGACUUGGCUCUAACUGCUGGACUAUCCUACAAAGCGUGAACUCAGAAGGUGCUCCAAGGCCAACUGGUUUCUAUCUCUAUGGGAUGAUGGACACUGGAUGGCACACCAACACUUACAAAUCUGACUGCUGAAGGGACUGAAGGCAGGCAAACAGCUGGUGUACAGACCAUGCAGAGUCCAAGCAGAACAGGCCAAGAGUACCUGUCACAUUGGACUUCUAUCAAGUUGCCAGUUCCCACCUCUGCAACACGAAUGUCUGUCCUAGACACACCUAAUACUAAGGAUGACAAGCAGAGAAGUGAGGUGGCUGAUUGCCCAAAUAGCAAGAUUCUGAUAAUUAUCUACAAACUCCACUACUGAGUUCAAGACGGCAACACCGAAGGCCCUGACCUCACCUCCUCCCACAGACACACCAAAUCCACAGCUACUUAUCGAACAAUUUCCUCUGAAAGAAAAUCAGAAAUUGGCUUAGCAACUCCUACGCAUUGGGUGAAUGAGAAAAAACCCACAUCGAAAUGCGUACGAGGUGGAGACACAAUUCACCAUAAACCCCCCUGCUGGUGCAGCAACACACAAUCAGGAGAGAACUCAC